CACACUUCCCCAGCUACAUUUCAAAAUUGGCGUCGAAAUCUUUUACUAUUCAUCUUCCUCUCAACUCUCAACUCAGUCAUUCUACAAUCACAAUCACAAUGGGUUCGCUUUGUUUUCUAGAUGAACCCUUGCACUACCCUGUUGCUCGCAGAGACGAGUCCGUCGUCGACGACUACCACGGCGUUAAGAUCGCCGACCCUUAUCGCUGGCUGGAGGAUCCUGACGCAGAGGAAGUGAAAGAGUUUGUGGAAGAGCAGGUGAAAUUGACAGAGUCGGUGCUCGAGAAAUGCGAGACGAGAGAGAAGCUUCGCGAGAAGAUUACGAAGCUCUAUGAUCACCCGCGUUAUGGCGCGCCUUUUAAGCGUGGAGGCAAGUACUUUUACUUCCACAACACUGGCCUCCAAGCCCAGAGCGUCCUCUACGUACAGGAUAGUUUGGAUGGAGAGCCUGAGGUUUUGCUGGACCCAAAUGCGCUUAGUGAAGAUGGAACUGUCUCUUUGAGCUCGCUUUCAAUUAGUGAGGAUGCUAAAUACUUGGCCUAUGGGCUUAGUGCUAGCGGUAGCGAUUGGGUGACAAUUAAUGUAAUGCGGGUUGAGGAUAAGAAAGUUGAGGCUGAUACAUUAUCAUGGGUUAAGUUUUCGACUAUUAGUUGGACACAUGAUGGCAAAGGGUUUUUCUACUGUCGAUAUCCUGCUCCCAAAGAGGGAGAAAAUGUAGAUGCUGGGACAGAGACCAAUUCUAACCUUUAUCAGGAGGUAUACUAUCAUUUCUUGGGUUCAGAUCAAUCUGAAGAUAUUUUAUGCUGGAGAGAUCCUGAAAACCCUAAAUACAGGUUCAGAGCCAGUGUUACACAUGAUGGGAAGUAUGUUCUCCUGUACAUCAAAAAGGAUUCUGGCCUUGUCAAUAAAUUUUAUUAUUGUGACUUUUCUGAUCUUCCUAAUGGGCUUGUGGGUUUGAAGGGAAAGAAAGCCUUGCUCCCGUUUAUUAAGCUUAUUGAUGAAUUUGAUGCUUUUUACGAUGCCAUUGCAAAUGAUGAUACUUUGUUUACCUUUCGGACAAAUAAAGAUGCUCCAAAAUAUAAGUUAAUCCGAGUAGAUCUGAAGGAACCAACUGUUUGGACUGAUGUUCUCCAAGAAGACGAAAAGGAUGUACUUGAAUCAGCUUGUGCUGUUAAUGGUAACCAAAUGAUUGUGAGUUACCUGAGUGAUGUUAAGUAUGUUCUACAGACAAGGGACUUGAAAUCAGGUUCCUUUCUACAUCAAUUACCCAUUGACAUUGGGACAGUCUAUGGGAUUUCUGCAAGGCGCACAGACAAUGUGGUUUUUAUUGGGUUUACUAGCUUUCUUAGCCCUGGAAUUAUUUAUCAGUGUAAUUUAGAAACUGAGGUUCCCAAUAUGAAGAUAUUUCGUGAAAUUGUUGUUCCUGGGUUUGAUCGCUCAGAGUUCCAUGUUGAUCAGGUUUUUGUGCCUAGUAAGGAUGGUACCAAGAUACCAGUGUUCAUUGUGGCAAGAAAGAAUAUUCUUUUGGAUGGAUCACACUCUUGUUUGUUAUAUGGAUAUGGUGGAUUUAACAUUAGCAUUACACCAUCAUUCAGUGUUGGUCGUAUUGUACUCAUAAGGCAUCUAGGUGCUGUUUUCUGCAUAGCAAACAUUCGUGGUGGUGGAGAAUAUGGAGAGGAAUGGCAUAAAGCAGGCUCACAUGCAAAGAAGCAGAAUUGCUUUGAUGACUUCAUUUCUGCCGCUGAAUAUCUUAUAUCUUCUGGCUAUACCCAACCCAGAAAGUUGUGUAUUGAAGGUGGAAGCAAUGGUGGGCUUCUUGUUGGGGCUUGCAUAAAUCAGAGACCUGAUCUUUUUGGUUGUGCUUUGGCUCAUGUUGGUGUUAUGGACAUGCUGCGAUAUCAUAAGUUUACUAUAGGCCAUUCAUGGACUUCUGAUUAUGGUUGUUCAGACAAGGAGGAAGAAUUUUACUGGCUAAUCAAGCAAUACUCCAGCUCAGAGUGGCAUCCCCUUCUAUCUUCCCUCACUGAUGUGUCUACAUUGAUGUUUGUGAAAAGGGCUGUAGAUAGAGUAAAUUUAGAGGGCUCAACAUUGCUUAACUUGGGCUUUUCAGCCAUUAGAACACCACAGUAGCUUGCAUGGGCUUUAAUUGUGAUAAUUGGGACUUCCAUAAUGGUGUUGUAAUGUUCUCCAUGCAUUAGCUGUUCUUGAGUUUCCAAACCGUGUCCAAACUCCAAUGCAAGCAGAGUGAAUUGGUCAUUUGGAAUUUCUGGGUCAACUAGACCUUCUGGUGGAGAUAUGAAUAUUCACUAGUCUUAUAAUUGUGUUUGUUUGAAUUGCUCCAAUUAUAAAUCCCCACUGGUUCCCCAUCCAAGCUAGUCUUAUGACUAGGCACAUCUCAGAUAGGUGCAAUUCAUCCUCAUCUUCCCUAUGGCAAAGAGGACAGAAUGACAAUUUACAGGGGCAUAACCUGCUUUACUGGUAUUCUCCACUACAUAAUAUCAGGAGACCUUGGGAACAGCAUCUGGAUCUACCUUCCCAGUAUCCAUCCACAAUGUUAUUGACUGCUGAUCAUGAUGAUAGGGUUGUGCCAUUGCACUCAUUGAAGUUACUAGCG